GUCUCAGCUCGAGCAUUCCUAGCGCCAACACGCCCUCAGGUAAAGGUGGAAGUAAAUGGCCACGCUGUAUUGACAGAGUUUAGAGAGUUGAUAUGUCCCGCGCCAUCAGCCCGCUGAAUGGGAUCUUCCUUCAGACAGGGACUGAGAAACGGAAAUACUACCAUCCUCCAGCCAAUCUGUUGGGAGGACUGCUUGCAGAGGACUCGUGCUCCAGAUGUUGCACUAGAGGCGCUGCAAGUGUGAGCAGCAGGUAGAUGAAACUCAAGAGAAAAGGUGUGGAUAAAUGAAACUAGCCCAUGAUGAACCUGUUUUCUCCGUGACCACAAUAUUAACCAGGAUGAAUGGCGGUGGCAGUGGGCCUGCAUCACAGGUUGCAGCAGAUGUUCUCAAUAUUUCUAUUAAAAUUUCCUUAUUUCCAUAUGCAAGAGGAGCCCCAGAGCUGCAUCCUUAUGGUAGCUACCAUGCCGUGAUGUAAGCUGCCAUUCACUGGGGAGCUUUGGCAAUAGAAUUGGCUAGAUCAGGAAGCCUAUGUCAACUAUGGAACAACAACUUGCAGCUCAUCUCUAUUGAUGGUGAAACAGUCGCAAAUGGAAUUCCAAGAAACAUUCUAUCUAAGGAGAGGCCCCGGAUCAGGACAGCAGUUUCCUCAGACGUGAUGUGGUGCCCCUUGCAUCCUGCUCAGAGAAUUCUCAGCAGCACAGAUACACUGCCUCUAGGACUGGGACAGAUAGCCACUGAGUACCUGCUUCAAAUCACCCUGCACGUUUUCUCUUUGGAAAGAUAAGCACUGGAGAACCAUCUCGUUACCUUCAGCAGAAAUGGAAACAAAUCAAGACAUUAAGAAUGCCGCAGUGGACAGCAGUUAUGCAAGGUUCAGCAGAGGAAGUUUUCAAGAUGGUGUGCCUCACUAGCCAGAAAUCAGAAAAGAUCGAAGCUAGCCUUUUCAUCUCAGCUGCUCCUUAAAUCAGUGCAACCCCUCCAAAUUAAUGUGAAUUGAAACUUGCAUUGCUUUUCAACUUAAUUGAAUACUUACUAUAUGUGAACCACUGCACAAAAUAGGGGAAGAAGAUGUGGGAGACAAAGAUGUGGAGCCUGUCUUCAAUAAAUUUACAGUUAGUUUCAGGGUACAUUGUUUUUCUUCUGCUGUUAAUUAGGUGUAUCCCCAAGACAAUAAAUACAUGAAUGGAAAAGUAUAUUCUGUGUUUUAAGUCUCUUUAAUAAAAAACAAAACAAAAUCCAAAAAAACUCCUAACAUGGCAACUCAGGACAUUUUAAUCCUUUUUUUUGUUGUUGGGCUUCUGAUAGGAUCCAUUUUAUUGAUUCCAUAAAUAUUUAGUAGACUUUAGACAUAUUAAUACAUUGUAGUUUGAGUUAAUUUGCAUUAAAUUCUGUUUUUUUCCCCUUAGGUAUAGAUUGUCUGUUGGAAAAAUAUAUUGCUUGUGGAUUUCUUGGGGAGUGGGAAGGUGAAUUAUACCUGUUGUCUCUACAGUCCACUACCUUCCACACCCUAGGGCAGUGGUCCCCAACCUUCUUGGCACCAGGGAUCAGUUUCCUGGAAGACAAUUUUUCUGUGGAUGGUGUGGGGAUGGUUUUGGGAUGGAACUGUUCCACCUCAGAUCAUCAGGCAUUAGUUAGGCUCUCAUAACGAGUGCGCAGCCUAGAUCCCUCACAUGCACAGUUCACAGUAGGGUUUGCGCUGCUAUGAGAAUCUAAGGCUGCCACUGAUCUGACAGGAGGCAGAACUCAGGUGGCAAUGCUUACUGGCCCACUGCUCACCUCUUGCUGUGCGGCCUGGUUCCUAAUAGGCCAUGGACCCCCACAGACGGGUACUAGUCUGCAGCCUGUGGACCCCAGCCCUAGGGGCCUGCCAUUCUGAGUGAGUUAUUAGCAUGAAGAAGAGGAAGAUCUGGAUCAAACGUGGGUGAUGGUACUCAGAGACCCAAGAUAGGAUAGGGAUGGAACAAAAUCCAUCUGGGCAACGGCUCUAUGAAAAUUUGGCUAAGUAAUUAUUUCAGUAUUCAUUGUAUUCAUUGUCCUUCGUGUUCCAUAAGUUAAAUGACUGUCUAAUUUUUCCAAAAAUUUAUUUCUGACUUGAGAAUAAGUGUGUCAUGAUUUUCCCAGUGUAAAGACACUGAUAUAACUGUAGAUACCAGACAUUUUAUGUAGUGUCUAUGACACAUUUUAGUAUGUAUGAGCCAACAAUAGACAUGUCUUUGUCUUGAGGAGUGUCCAUCUGAAUUGAAAAUGUGUCAGCUUUUUUUUAACAUCAUCAACAGACUUCUUAAUUAAGCUGCCAAUACAUACUGCCAAUAGCACUGUGUGCUGUCUGAGAAAUGCAUUGUGUAAGUGCUAUUUCCAUCUUAUUAAAUAAACAAUGUUGCUCUGUAUAAACUGGAUUUAAAGUGUUCUUUGAAUGAGGCAUUAUAUUGCUCCAUAAAUAAUGUGAUGUGAAUUCUCAUAUGAUCCCUUUUAACUUAAUUUCUAAAAAAAUAUUAUUUGCUCCUCAGUAAGGAAUAGCUCUAAUUGGACUGGUAACUUUAGUGAUAUGAUUUGUCUGUAACAGGCUGAAUCGCCCCACUCCCAAACUCCUGGUCGUGAUACUGGAUAUUUGUUAUGCCACUUUUAGUUUGCAUGAGGUAUCUUCCAGGAAGUAUUAGUUAUUAACUUGUGUUCUACUAAACUGUAGAUAUUUAUUUCCUGUUCUGGAAGAUUUCUUGGAGUGUCCAUCUGUGCAUUCCUGGUGCCUAGUGUAGUCUUGCUAAUGGAAUAGCACCUUUAUUGGUGCUACUUAGGGGUUGGUAGCUUACAAUCAAUCUACUUGGAACGUAUCCAAAUAAACUGGAUAUUUUUAUACA
rnacentral:lncRNA from 1 species